GACCUUAACGAAGCUGUUUGGCCA
rnacentral:siRNA from 1 species